UACGAAGGGGGCUAGCGUUGCUCGGAAUUACUGGGCGUAAAGCGCACGUAGGCGGCUUUCUAAGUCGGGGGUGAAAUCCUGGAGCUCAACUCCAGAACUGCCUUCGAUACUGGAAAGCUCGAGUCCGGGAGAGGUAAGUGGAAUUCCGAGUGUAGAGGUGAAAUUCGUAGAUAUUCGGAAGAACACCAGUGGCGAAGGCGACUUACUGGACACAUAUUGACGCUGAGGUGCGAAAGCGUGGGGAGCAAACAGG
rnacentral:rRNA from 1 species